rnacentral:rRNA from 1 species
GCUUAACACAUGCAAGUCGAACGAAGAGCGAUGGAAGCUUGCUUCUAUCAAUCUUAGUGGCGAACGGGUGAGUAACGCGUAAUCAACCUGCCCUUCACAGGGGGACAACAGUUGGAAACGACUGCUAAUACCGCAUACGAUCUAACCUCGGCAUCGAGGAUAGAUGAAAGGUGGCCUCUAUUUAUAAGCUAUCACUGAAGGAGGGGAUUGCGUCUGAUUAGCUAGUUGGAGGGGUAACGGCCCACCAAGGCGAUGAUCAGUAGCCGGUCUGAGAGGAUGAACGGCCACAUUGGGACUGAGACACGGCCCAGACUCCUACGGGAGGCAGCAGUGGGGAAUCUUCCGCAAUGGACGAAAGUCUGACGGAGCAACGCCGCGUGAGUGAUGACGGCCUUCGGGUUGUAAAGCUCUGUUAAUCGGGACGAAAGGCCUUCUUGCGAAUAGUUAGAAGGAUUGACGGUACCGGAAUAGAAAGCCACGGCUAACUACGUGCCAGCAGCCGCGGUAAUACGUAGGUGGCAAGCGUUGUCCGGAAUUAUUGGGCGUAAAGCGCGCGCAGGCGGAUUGGUCAGUCUGUCUUAAAAGUUCGGGGCUUAACCCCGUGAUGGGAUGGAAACUGCCAAUCUAGAGUAUCGGAGAGGAAAGUGGAAUUCCUAGUGUAGCGGUGAAAUGCGUAGAUAUUAGGAAGAACACCAGUGGCGAAGGCGACUUUCUGGACGAAAACUGACGCUGAGGCGCGAAAGCCAGGGGAGCGAACGGGAUUAGAUACCCCGGUAGUCCUGGCUGUAAACGAUGGGUAC